GACGGAGGAUGCAAGUGUUAUCCGGAAUCACUGGGCGUAAAGCGUCUGUAGGUGGUUUAAAAAGUCCACUGUUAAAGGUUGAAGCUUAACUUCAAAAAUGCCGUGGAAACUUUUAAACUUGAGUAUGGUAGGGGUAGAGGGAAUUUCCAGUGGAGCGGUGAAAUGCGUAGAUAUUGGAAAGACCACCGAUGGCGAAGGCAGCUUCUUGGUCCAUUACUGACGCUGAGGCGCGAAAGCGUGGGGAGCAAACAGG
rnacentral:rRNA from 1 species